GAGUUCUCCACUGGGUCCACUCCAUCAUAAUGAAGCUUCAACACAGGCCUCCACAGAGCUCCAGGAGAGAAAUCUGGGAAGGAGAAAGUGAAGGGAGAUUGGCUCUGAGAAGACUGAAUGAAGAUCUGCAUUGAUUUGAGCCUAUGACUACUUGAUAUAUUUAACUUGAAGGAAAUCUCUCCAGAUGUAAGGGAAUGGCAAAUGAGAAGCAAACAACUUGAAAUUCACCAGAGAAUUUGGAGUGCAAAUUUAAUUUAUAUGAGAAGACUUUGGUGAUGGGAAAUAUAGAAAACUCUAAGUUUUGAUGGUUGGACCAGGCUCAGAGCCUACAGGCAUAUAUCACUGAAGGGUAUUAAAUAUUUAAAAGAAGGCUUAUUUAGAGUCCUCAAAACUGACAGGAUCUUAAAUACAAGAUCAUAUGGCAAGAAAGCUCAACAUCAUUCUUGUCAGGGUGAAUUAACUGUGGUGUAUAGCCCUGUAUAAAUAAGCAUCCACGGAAACUCUCAGCUUCAUUUAAAGACCUGGAAAACCAAAUUUCUCCAUUCAGAAGAAAAAAAAGAAUAAGACCAAGAUAGGAAGAAAGAGGAAAAACCCAAGCUUUCUGAGGAAGUUUAUCA